CCCCUCUCAGGAUCAUACCUAGAGAGGUUCCAGUACUCUACCAGUCAUGACUACAGGAGGGAGAGUCAAGCAGAGGAAUACGCAUUCCAUUCCUAGCUUGGGCAGUGGCUAGCGAGUGGAAGGCAAUCUGCUACAUGU